GUCGACAAAUAAUUAGUUGACCAGUUGAUAUUUAAGUUGCGAAAAGUUAACCGAACGCCGGUAAAUAGUGGAAGUGGGAGAAAUACUCCAAAUUUACCUUAUCGACUAUCGGUUGUAAACUGGCAGAAUUCCAUUAAAAUUGGACCAGAAUAUUGGUUUUUGAGGUUAUAAACCCGCACUUUCGUGGGUUUUUGUUGGGUAUAUUCGAGCACGUGCAUUUUUACGCAUUGAUAAACCCCUUGGAUGGAAAACCCAGCGAAUAUUUCCGUAUCCAAAACCCCAACGACCGUUGCGCAAUAACGCCACCCACCGAGCCCGAGGUAGUCAACUGUACGAGGACGCAAGUUAUGACGACACAGUUGGUCCUACUCGCUAGCUAGGACGUAAUCCAUUGGUGAAGCGUUACCCGCCAAUAACACGUGUUACAUCGACCCGAUCAGCCAAGGCGCUGCCCAACUAGCAUUGCAAUCGACUGCCACCUGGCGGUUAAGUCAAGAGUGACGUCAUUGGAGAGCACCGUGCAAGGAAGGGACUUCGUGCAGGUUGUGAGUUAGCAACUAAAAACAGGUCAGAACAAACUAUUGUAACCUAAGUUAAGCUGAUAGGGCCAAUCUCUCG